AUAUCAAUAAGCGGAGGAAAAGAAACUAACAAGGAUUCCCCUAGUAACGGCGAGUGAACAGGGAAGAGCUCAAAUUUGUAAUCUGGCGUCCUUUGGGCGUCCGAGUUGUAAUCUAUAGAAGCGUUUUCCGUGCUGGACCAUGUCCAAGUCCCUUGGAACAGGGUAUCAAAGAGGGUGACAAUCCCGUGCUUGACAUGACGACCAGUGCCAUGUGAUACGCUCUCUACGAGUCGAGUUGUUUGGGAAUGCAGCUCAAAAUGGGUGGUGAGUUCCAUCUAAAGCUAAAUAUUGGCGAGAGACCGAUAGCGAACAAGUACCGUGAGGGAAAGAUGAAAAGCACUUUGGAAAGAGAGUUAAACAGUACGUGAAAUUGUUGAAAGGGAAACGAUUGAAGUCAGUCGUGUCCGAGGGGUUCAGCCGGUCAUGCCGGUGUAUUCCCCUCGGAUGGGUCAACAUCAGUUUGGACCGGUGGAAAAGGGCAGUUGGAAGGUAGCAGCUCCGGCUGUGUUAUAGCCUUCUGUCGCACACACUGGUCUAGACUGAGGCAUGCAGCUCGCCUUUAUGGCUGGGGUUCUCCCACAUUCGAGCUUAGGAUGUUGACAUAAUGGCUUUAAACGACCCGUCUUGAAACACGGACC
rnacentral:rRNA from 1 species